rnacentral:lncRNA from 1 species
UUUGCCUACAAGAUUUUGUGUAUCUCAUAUGCUUGGAUUUAUGCGGGAGGAGUGUUUGUUUGCUCAAAAAGUUUUUUUGUUUGCUUGAUUGAUUGCUUAAUCAAUCAUAACAGUGUUUUUCUAUCCUGAAGUAGAUAUACCUGAGUAAAUAGCUUAAUAGUUAAGUAAUUAACAAGUAUAUAAAAUUAUAUAAAUUAUAAAAUUAUUAAUUUAUAAUGAUAUAAAAUGUGAUAGUGUUUCUGCAAACAUCUGGCCUUGGAUCACAGUGGAAACUGAAAUACUGUCUCACACAGGACUUUUCCAGUCUAGUUCCCCUUGGGGUCACCUGAGAAACCUCAGAGACUGUAGAUGUAGACAUUGGCACUUAUCAAAAUUUUGUCCUCCAGUUUGAAGUGAGAACCACAGAUCUGAGCCGAGAUCCUGCAUUUAUGUUCAGAAAAGCAAAGGCCCAGAGAGGUCAACACCAAGCAGGAAGUUUGCACUGCUCAGCUUCAGACCUACAAGGUUUUCACCACACCAGUCUUAAGUCCUACCUGAUCAAUCAGAAUCUGUCAUUCCUCACAUGACCCAGUUUGCUAGUCUUGGAUCUCUUAAAUUAUGAAGGCAAUAGCUGUUGCUUAAGGGCUAGUGCACAAAUGCCUGUUUCUGCUCUAACUGGAGGUCUGCAUGGGGAAGAACGCAAGCUGAAUCGUUUUUAUCACCUUGUACAAAGCUGACCCACAGCAGAACGAUCUGGAGAGAGUGAGAGACUUUGGAACACUCAGUCCUAAAUGAGAUGUCUUCAUCAAACCCCACCCCUCAGCACUCUGGGAGCCGUGCAAAGGAGAAGGGGGAAACUGUAAGAACUGUAAGAGCCAGCGAAGGAAAACUCCAAGGAAAGAGCUGCUUCUGGACACAGCAGGGCUGAUGCACAUGCGAACUCACAGACUGUGACGGAAGGCACGACACGUUCACAGAUUCAAACCAGACUGGGUCCCAGUGCCGAGAGGGGAAGAGAGGCUACGACCUACCUCCCUAAGAGGUGGCUUUCAAUAUGCUUUAUUUGAAGAUAGAUAGAUAGAUAGAUAGAUAGAUAGAUAGAUAGAUAGAUAGAUAGAUAGAUCGAUCGAGAUAUGCUGGGGAAAUUUAUUUCCUGACCCUGAUGUUGUUUAAUUGUUCUGUUUGCAUCCUGUAUCUGUAUGGCUAUGUCUUAGUUUAGGGAAGUUUUUUUUUCCUAUAAUCUUGUUUAUGAUCUGGUCUAUGCCAUUGACCCGGGCUUCUUUUCUCUCACUUAUGCCUAAAAUUCAAAGGUCCCGGCUUUUAAUGGCGUCCAACAUUUCCUGAAGUCCCUUCUUUAUGUUUUUGCUUCACGGUUCUCACAUUCUUUGCUUAUUUCAUCUAGAUCCUCUGUCUUUGAGUCUCGAGUCUCGUCUGCUGGAUUCAUUCUCCUUGCAAGGCUUUCCCUUGCGUUUUCUAGUUGAGCUAUUGGAAUUUUCAAUUCUUUCUUCACUUCGGCUUGAGCUUUUCUCGUCAGCGUUUCCAUCUUCAUAUUGAAUUCUGUUUUCGAAUCACGGAUUGCCCAUGUCAUUUCUAUCAGCCUUGCUUCUGUUUCCUUGGGCAUCACUCAGCCCUUGGUUCUCCUUAGGUUCCCUAUCUUUGAGUUCAGUGAGCUGUUUCUAAGUGUCUUCCCUAAACUCCUUAAGUUAUUUGAUGAAGUGUAUGAUGUUUUUAUUUUUUUGCUUCUUGGGGUUUAUCUGGGUGGUUCUUAAGGGCAAACAUUUCUACAGGACAUGUGGAUCUGUGAGUGUGUGGUGCAGAGGUCCUGCCUACAUCUCUCGUAAUAUUUUUGUUUUUACAAUGACAUCUGGAGAUGUAUAUUAAUCAGUUAGGGUUUUACUGCUGUGAACAGUCACCAUGACUAAGGCAAGUUUUAUAAAGGACAACAUUUAAUUGGGGCUGGGUUACAGGUUCAGAGGUGCAAUCCAGUAUCAUCAAGGCAGGAAUAUGGAAGCAUCCAGGUAGGCGUGGUACAGAAAGAACUGAGAGUUCUACAUCUUCUGCUGAAGGCUGCCAGUAGAAGACUGGCUCCUAGUCAGCUAAGAUGAAGGUGUUAAAGUUCACACCCACACUGACACACAUAUUCCAACAAGGCUACACCUCCAAAUAGUGCCAGUCCCUGGGCCAAGCAUAUUCAAACCAUGACAACAUGUGAAAUUCUUUUAUUAGUUCUGUGUCUGAUAUGGACAGAGAAGAUUGGGGAGGAACACAGGAUAUAUGUGCUGGGUUGGGCCUAAAGGUUGGCUAUAGCUUAAGUGGAAUGAAGUCAACUGGAAGGAAACUGAGCUAAUGUGCAGGAUGGGUAUCCUGGUCUAAUCCUGGAGUUUGGGUAGUUCUGGGGUUCGGGGUGAAUGGAGGCAAUAAUCAGCCAGACUCACCUGGUUAGAUCCUUAGUGUGCAUGAUAUAACUGGGCAGAGGUUAAAUAGGAUAUAAGAGGGGUCUGUAGGUGAGAGCAAACAAAAUGUGUCCUGACUGGAGUCUGAACGUUAAGCCUGCACAAAACAGUGUUGACUAAACUAGGCUGGGAUGCGAGGUGUGGUACUUAGUUUAGGUCUGCAGGAUUAAGGAAGACGUAUGGAAGGAAGGAUUCACAGGGCUCAUUCCUAGUGAAGAAUGUGCAGUAUCUGACUGGGCAGAGAGCUUGGAAUAUGGCUGAGGAGGAUCCUCAAGGGUGGGAGCUGUACUUUACUCAAAAGUAUCCUAGUAGUAGAAUAGAUAGAAGCCUGACUCUAUUCAUCGUUUCCUCCAAAGCAAAGAGCCCUGUCAGGUCAAGAACUGUCACUGGCUGUUAUCAAGGAGCCGAAUGAGGCUAUAAUUCAGCCUAAGAAUUAAAUACGAGAGUAUAAACUAUCCUCAGGGAAUCCUAGAACCUCAGGGUUUUUCUGAGAUAACCAUCUACUGCCAAGGAGCUAAGGAAACCAAGAUCUAGACAUUUGAGGUUCCCAAUGAAGUAUCUGACAACAGACAUUUGGAACCAAGUCCCUUCUUCAUUAGCUGUAUCUACACAAAGGCACCAUGUAAAUUGUAGAGACAUCGCUCCUAGAUCCCUGCUGAGACAGGUUCCAGGCUACCAUUUAAAAAGAGACAUAAAAAUAAGGAAUUAAUAUGAAACUAUACUGGCCCUCUCUGAACGACAAUUGUAAUUAGGGUUUAUGUUGUAAGUUUAGGGAAACUGAAAGUGAAUAUCUUUUAUUUAGAAAAUUGAGGAGACUUGAAUAGGGCUAUAGAUUAUGUACAUUAUCGUGUCAGUUAAUAUUCCUAUUUUUAUAAUUGUGACCAUUAGAGAAUUUGCUUGCAUUUGGCAACUAAACACUGAAGUAAAGUAUUAUGUACAACUUACUGUUAAAUGACUUUUUGAACCGGGGUGGGCGUGGGGUGAGAUUGUUUUGUCUAUAAAGCACAGAAGGAAAGAAGGGAAAAAGGAAGGGAAAAGAAAACGAUAACAAGAUGAGUCAAAAGACUGGCCUGUUUAAAUGGGGUGUAAUUGUGAUGGUUUGUAUAUCCUUGGCCAUGGCAUCCUUGGGAGGUGUGGCCUUGUUGGAGUAGGUGUGUCGCUGUAGGUGUGGGAUUUAAUACCCUUGUUCUGGUUGCCUGGAAGGAGGUCUUCUCCUAGGGAUCUUCAGAUGAAGAUGCAGAACUCUCAGCUCCUCCCGCAUCAGGCCUGCCUGGACGCUGCCAUGCUCCUGCCUUGAUGAUAAUGGACUGAGCCUCUGUGAUGGUUUGCAUGUGCUUGGCCCAGGAAGUGACACUAUUAGAAGGUGUGGCCCUGUUGGGGGAAGUGUGUCACUGUCAGGGUGGGCUUGGAGACCCUCCUCCUAGCUGACUGAAGAUGCUCAGUCUGUUCCUGGCUUCCUUGGGGUAAAGAUGUAGAACUCAGCUCCUACUGUGCCACACCUGCCUGGACGCUGCCAUGCUCCCGCCUUGAUGAUAAUGGACUGAACCUCUGAACCUGUAAGCCAGCCCCAAUUAAAUGUUGUCCUUUAUAAAACUUGUAUUGGUCAUGGUGCCUGUUCACAGCAAUAAAACCCUAACUAAGACAAUCACUGAACCUG